CGCCCGCCCGCCGCAGAGCGAGGCUGUCAGUCAGACAAUGGAUGAUGCCCGGAUAGGGCUAGUGACGCGGCCUGAGGCCCCCGCAACCAACGCCUCUCGCAGAGCGGGGGAGUCUCGGUGUUCCCGCCCACCAGGGCCCCUGGCCUGUCAGCCACCAGAGUGCAAAGAAAUAACGCCUCGGGGCAGGGCUACCGGGCCUGUCUCUCCUGACCCAGGGCAUCAGUCCCACCAAACCCACGCGCCCCCACCCCAUACCUAGGCAGGGCGAGGUGCCCAGAGUGAGGCGGGGGCUCAGAGGACAGGGCUCCGGAGGCCCUGGUGAGGUGGCCCGAGGGGGUAACUGAGGUGGGAGUGCAGGGCGUUCUCCCGGCAGCAGAAGCAGCCGGUUCGCACAGGGUGGGCAAGAGACGUCCAGAGGCCUAGAGAGUGGCGGCUCUAGCCAGCAGCAACCCCCGCGGAGGCUCUGCACAGUGUUGUUAUUAAUUGGCACCCAAGACGCUCUCAGCCCCGCGCAAGGUGCAUCUACAGCCAGAGAGUCUCUGCCCCGGGAGCCCACACCGCCACAGGCACGGAGCGGGCCCAGGCCGUGCCGCCCUGCUAUGGGCUGGGAGAGACCAGGGCCAGGCUCAGGGAUUUGCUGCGCUGCCGUCUGCUGUGACUUAUCGCAAGCCUCACAACAGCUGGUGUAUGUCUCCUGGAGUCAGCUCAUUACCACAGAAUCUCAGCUUUCAUUUAAAACAACAAAAAAUUUGUUCCAAGGAAAUCGCUCCCCAACUCUGUGAUGCAGUCAUAAAAGUCUGGUUUGCUACCUAAAUCCUAGAAGACUGAAAGACCCUUGAUAAUAAUGCUUCUGAUUGUGCACACCCCAUUUCUAAAACUACUGUAUGAUAUAAUUUAAUAAACGCAAGCAAACUUUGAUGUAUAA